UACGGAGGGUGCAAGCGUUAUCCGGAUUUACUGGGUUUAAAGGGUGUGUAGGCGGACUUUUAAGUCAGCGGUGAAAUCUCCGGGCUCAACCCGGAAACUGCCAUUGAUACUAUUUAUCUUGAAUAUUGUGGAGGUAAGCGGAAUAUGUCAUGUAGCGGUGAAAUGCUUAGAUAUGACAUAGAACACCAAUUGCGAAGGCAGCUUACUAAAGUAUGAUUGACGCUGAGGCACGAAAGCGUGGGGAUCAAACAGG
rnacentral:rRNA from 1 species